AAUGUAUUUCCUUUGUCCGGAAAAGUUUGUCCCUUAAAUAGAUGUAUUUAGCACUAACUUCGUGCUAAAUACAUUCAUUUAAAGGACAAGUUUGGGACAAGUUUUUUCGGACAGAGAAAGUAUGAU
rfam:Triticum aestivum genome assembly, contig: Triticum_aestivum_CS42_TGACv1_scaffold_158030_2DL